AAUAAGUACAGUUUUACACUAUUCACGUUCAACGUUUGACCGUUCGUCUUAUUUAAAAAUUUUUAUGAUUAGUACUUUUGUUGCUAUUAGAUGAUAAAAAAUGAAUAGUAUUUUCUGUGUGACUAAUUUUUUUAAUUUUUUCAUAAUUUUUUUAAAUAAGACGGAUGGUCAAACGUUGGACACGGAUAUCCAUCGCUGCACUUAUU
rfam:Oryza glaberrima chromosome 5 Oglab05_0110_1, whole genome shotgun sequence.